rnacentral:rRNA from 1 species
AGAGUUUGAUCCUGGCUCAGGAUGAACGCUAGCGGCAGGCCUAACACAUGCAAGUUGAGGGGCAGCAUGAAUAAUAGCAAUAUUAUUUGAUGGCGACCGGCGCACGGGUGCGUAACACGUAUGCAAUCUGCCUCAUACUUGGGUAUAACUCCGAGAAAUCGGUGCUAAUUCCCAAUGACACUACAGAGUGGCAUCACUCCAUAGUUAAAGCUCCGGCGGUAUGAGAUGAGCAUGCGCCCAAUUAGCUAGUUGGUGAGGUAAUGGCUCACCAAGGCUACGAUUGGUAGGGGUUCUGAGAGGAUGAUCCCCCACACUGGUACUGAGACACGGGCCAGACUCCUACGGGAGGCAGCAGUGAGGAAUAUUGCGCAAUGGACGAAAGUCUGACGCAGCCAUGCCGCGUGAAGGAUUGAAGGCCCUAUGGGUUGUAAACUUCUUUUGUACGGGAAUAAACGCUCCUACGUGUAGGAGCCUGAAGGUACCGUAAGAAUAAGCACCGGCUAACUCCGUGCCAGCAGCCGCGGUAAUACGGAGGGUGCAAGCGUUAUCCGGAUUUAUUGGGUUUAAAGGGUCCGUAGGUGGACUGUUAAGUCAGUGGUGAAAGCCCAUAGCUCAACUAUGGAACUGCCACUGAUACUGACAGUCUUGAGUAUAUGUGAAGUUGGCGGAAUGUGUGGUGUAGCGGUGAAAUGCUUAGAUAUCACACAGAACACCGAUUGCGAAGGCAGCUGGCUAACAUAUAACUGACACUGAGGGACGAAAGUGUGGGGAUCAAACAGGAUUAGAUACCCUGGUAGUCCACACUGUGAACGAUGAUCACUAGAUUUUGGCCGUAAGGUCAGAGUCCAAGCGAAAGUGUUUAGUGAUCCACCUGGGGAGUACGACCGCAAGGUUGAAACUCAAAGGAAUUGACGG